CUCUUAUACUUUGUUUACCUAGC
rnacentral:siRNA from 1 species